rnacentral:rRNA from 1 species
AAAGGUUUCCGUAAGGUGAACCUUGCGGAAAGGAUCAUUUG